GUUAAAGAAAAAUAAUAUAUUCAAUGGUUGUGAUACGCCAUGCCAUUUAUAAGUAGCUUUUUUCAAAAAUUUGUGACAUUUAUUGCUACUAAUUGAUUAGGUUGGUUAAGUAUCCACUGAUAAUGAAGAGUGGUGCCGCCUGAUUGAUGAUGAUUUAUUGUGAAUAUCUUAUCUAAAAAAACGUGUAAAUAAUAGGUGUCCUCCUAAUUCAAUGGGAAAACAAUGAACCAUUUU